UUAUAUCCUGGGGAGGAAGCGCAG
rnacentral:misc_RNA from 1 species